rnacentral:tRNA from 1 species
CGGGGUAUAGCGCAGUCCGGUCGCGCGCCUGCUUUGGGAGCAGGAUGUCAGGAGUUCGAAUCCCCUUACCCCGACCA